CACUGUAUUCAGAUGUCCAUAGCAGAAGCUGGAAAAGCAGGGCACAGGUGUCAAAUACCAAGUCUGGAUUCAGGAGCCUGCAGGACGUACAAGGAAAUAACAGCCAUUGACUGUCCCUUGAAGCAUGGCCUCAGCUCCCUGGCAGUACUCCUCUUCCUGCAACAGGCCCAGCUAAUUUUGGCCAUGAAGGCACCAGUGCCGGGCGCUGGGGAACCUUCUGCUCUGCAGCAGUGCUCUCUGCCUGACUCAUCAAGAAUGGCAGGACUUGGAUAUGAAGGGAUGUUGACUCCUCAUCCACACACUGUAGAUGCACACGGAAACACUGGAAAGCAGGAGCACUUUUCUGAAGCGAUUUCCACUGGUGUAGCUUCUUUUAAAGCAAAUGGUCUUCACAAGCGGUUCCCAGUGUCCUGUGUUCUUGCAGUCAUACAACAGGAUUUUACUCAUUACAUAUUGGUGUCUUUUUCCCUCUCUUUUGUUUGUGUUUGCAGUUUGGUGCUUUGCUAAGGCUUUAUUAGGACCCUAACUUGAAACUUGUCUGAAACAAGUGUGCAGCUGCUGGAAAAGGACAAAAAGUAAUCCCUGCCAGCACUGAGGUGUGUCUGCUCAGAGCAAAGUGGACUGUAUGGACUGAAACAGGGUAGAUUUAGAUUAUUAUUGGAAAUAACUUCUUCGCUAUGAAGGGUGGUGAGGCACUGGCACAGGUUGCCCACAGAAGCUGUGGCUGCCUCAUCCAUGGCAGUGUUCAAGACCAGGUUGGAAUGGGGCUUUGAGCAAUCUGGUUUAGUGGAAGGUGUUCCUGCCCAUGCAGGGGGUUGGAACUAGGUGAUCUUUAAAGCCCCUGCCAACCCAAACCAUUCUGUGAUUCUAUGAUAUCAAACAUGCAAUCACAUCUCAUUUGACUGCCUUGUACUAUUAUCUUCCCACCUCCAAUGCCAGAUCUAGAGACUGAAAAUCAACUCCCAGCAUUGCUUCUUUGGCCAGAACAGUGUCAGUAUUUCAAAACCAUCAUAUAUACAUAUUUAUUUUCUCUUUUUGAACACCCAGACAAGGCAUACCAGCACCCACCUUAGGGGCAUAUGCACAACAGAUAACGUGUACAGCAGCACUGCACUCUGCCUAGCAUGAGUAUAGGGGGUGGUAAAGCUGCUGCUGUGUUAUGUGUACCCACUCAUGUUUUACAGCUCCCAGAAGCUUGCAGGCAACCUCAAAUGUUACUGAUCAAAAACCUUCAAGUCCUGAUCCUCUUUUCAUUUAAUAUUAUCAUUUAGUGUACAAACUUUUGGUUCCCCUUUCCUUCACACAACCAGAGUUACCGACACAGACAACAAACUCGUUGCCAAGACUCUCCACUCAAGGUGACUUAAGCAGCAGAGCUUCUUUUUUACUGAGUUAAUGAUUUUCGUCUCCACUGUGCACCCAUAAAGCACAAACCACUGCACAAGUAGGAAAGCAAUGAAAGCAGGAGGGUUUACUUCCCAGUUGUGUAUUCAAGAGCUGUACAGAA
rnacentral:lncRNA from 14 species